rnacentral:rRNA from 1 species
GAGUUUGAUCCUGGCUCAGAUUGAACGCUGGCGGCGUGCUUAACACAUGCAAGUCGAGCGGCAGCGCGGUAGCAAUACUGGCGGCGAGCGGCGAACGGGUGAGUAAUGCUUCGGAAUCUUCCUCGUAGUGGGGAAUAACCUGGGGAAACUCAGGCUAAUACCGCAUACGAACUACGGUUGAAAGCAGGGGAUCGCAAGACCUUGCGCUAUGAGAUGAGCCGAAGUCGGAUUAGCUAGUUGGUAGGUAACGGCCUACCAAGGCGACGAUCCGUAGCUGGUCUGAGAGGACGACCAGCCACACUGGGACUGAGACACGGCCCAGACUCCUACGGGAGGCAGCAGUGGGGAAUAUUGGACAAUGGGGGCAACCCUGAUCCAGCGACGCCGCGUGUGUGAAGAAGGCCUGCGGGUUGUAAAGCACUUUUAGUGGGGAUGAAAAGCCGAAGGCUAAUACCUUUCGGUCUUGACCUAACCCAAAGAAAAGCACCGGCUAACUCUGUGCCAGCCGCCG